rnacentral:rRNA from 1 species
ACCGAGCAACGCCGCGUGAGUGAAGAAGGUUCUCGGAUCGUAAAGCUCUGUUGUAAGUCAAGAACGUGUGUGAGAGUGGAAAGUUCACACAGUGACGGUAGCUUACCAGAAAGGGACGGCUAACUACGUGCCAGCAGCCGCGGUAAUACGUAGGUCCCGAGCGUUGUGCGGAUUUAUUGGGCGUAAAGGGAGCGCACGGCGGUCAGGAAAGUCUGGAGUAAAAGGCUAUGGCUCAACCAUAGUGUGCUCUGGAAACUGUCUGACUUGAGUGCAGAAGGGGAGAGUGGAAUUCCAUGUGUAGCGGUGAAAUGCGUAGAUAUAUGGAGGAACACCAGUGGCGAAAGCGGCUCUCUGGUCUGUCACUGACGCUGAGGCUCGAAAGCGUGGGUAGCGAACAGGAUUAGAUACCCUGGUAGUCCACGCCGUAAACGAUGAGUGCUAGGUGUUAGGCCCUUUCCGGGGCUUAGUGCCGGAGCUAACGCAAUAAGCACUCCGCCUGGGGAGUACGACCGCAAGGUGAAACUCAAAGGAAUUGACGGGGGCCCGCACAAGCGGUGGAGCAUGUGGUUUAAUUCGAAGCA